rnacentral:RNase_P_RNA from 1 species
UCAGAUGGUCGGAUGGUCGCUGUUUCGGCAGAGGAAAGUCCGGGCUCUAGAAAACUACGGUGCCGGAUAACGUCCGGCGAGGGUGACCUCAGGGAAAGUGCCACAGAAAAUACACCGCCUCAUAUUAAGGUAAGGGUGAAAUGGUAGGGUAAGAGC